ACUACGAGUUUGAUCAUGGCUCAGAGCGAACGCUAGCGGCGGGCCUAACACAUGCAAGUCGAGCGGGGAGCAAUCCCAGCGGCGAACGGGUGAGUAACACGUGGGUAAUGUGCCUUCUGGUGGGGAAUAACCUUGGGAAACCAGGGCUAAUACCGCAUAUCGUGCUUCGGCAUGAAAGCCUUCGGGCGCCAGUAGAGCAGCCUGCGUCCCAUUAUUUAGUCCUAGUUGGUAGGGUAAUGGCCUACCAAGGGUACGAUGGGUAGCUGGUCUGAGAGGAUGAUCAGCCACACUGGAACUGAGACACGGUCCAGACUCCUACGGGAGGCAGCAGUGGGGAAUAUUGCGCAAUGGGGGAAACCCUGACGCAGCCACGCCGCGUGAGUGAUGAAGGCCUCGGUUGUAAAGCUCUGUCGGGAGGGACGGAAGGGAGGCGAAUCUCUGACGGUACCUCGCAAGAAAGACACCGGCUAACUCUGUG
rnacentral:rRNA from 1 species